AGUGGCGAACGGGUGAGUAAUACGUGAGUAACCUACCUUUAACUCUGGGAUAAGCCUGGGAAACUGGGUCUAAUACCGGAUACGACCAAUCUCCGCAUGGGGUGUUGGUGGAAAGCGUUAUGUAGUGGUUAUAGAUGGGCUCACGGCCUAUCAGCUUGUUGGUGAGGUAACGGCUCACCAAGGCGACGACGGGUAGCCGGCCUGAGAGGGUGACCGGCCACACUGGGACUGAGACACGGCCCAG
rnacentral:rRNA from 1 species